rnacentral:precursor_RNA from 15 species
AAAUGAGCCAAAAUCCGCUGGUUGAGGCUCAGACUACAAACUACAUCAUUUUCCAUCUCUUUGGUGAGGCUAGAAAAUUUGUAGUUUGUAGUGAGAGCCUCAACCAACCGCUUUUAAAAGUUAAAA